CUUUCGUCACUUGAGCGCAGAUAUCCAUAAAAAAACAUACCUCAUUUAGGGUUUCUGCCACCAUCUUACCUUCCUCUUCCUGCUUUUUUCAUCUUUCUCUUCAAAACCCUUUCAAUUCACACACACACACACACACUUCAACUCUUCUCCUUCAAAAUUUUCUAUAUCACUACCAAUUCUAUAUUGUUUUGGAUUAAUCCUUCUCCCUCACUUCUCUUGCAGUUCUCAUGAUUAGGGUUACCUGCACUUGAUUGCUGCUCUAUACGCCUACCACCUCUUUUCUUAGGUCUUCGAUUCAAUAUGGUAUAUACAUAUAUGUAGCCUUUUAUAUAUGUUCGUACAAUUUUUCGUCAAAUCUUUUUAAAAACAACAUAGUUCUCAGAUUUUUUAUACUUGCAUGGACAUACAUACACAUAUUUAUAUGUAUUUUAUACUCCUUGAUGUCAGUUCAGCUUUUCUCCUUUUCCUUUCCCUAAGUUUUCUUUUAUUUGAACCUGGCCUUGUUUUGGGCCUACUGAAACGCCUUUUCCAGUUACUUCUUCUGUUAGUUUUUGUGUGAAAAUUAAUAAGCAGUUAAUUACUAACAUAACAGGCUUUGCAAUUACAUUAGGUCAAUUUGGGUUCAGAUCAGCACAAAGGGUUUUCUAACUUGAACAAACUAUAUAUUUUGUCAUCUGAUCUAUUAUUAAUUCAUUGAUUCAUAUGAUAGAGAAUCUGAACAUGUCUGGUUUAAAGUGUGAUCCAUUUAUUCAAGUAAUUUCCCAUUUUAUCAUCAUCUAAACCCUUUAUAGGUUUGUUAAUUUGGUGAUAUAUAAGAAAGUAUAGUGUGAUGGAAGAGGCAAUUGUUAAUUAUGUGUGUGGCAGGAAGAAUGUGUGAGAAUAUGAGAAUAUGAAGAAGAUGCAGUGUAGAUGUGAAUGAGAGAAGGUACUGGGAGAGAAAGAGAACGAAGGAGCUUCCUUCAGCCCACGUAUAAAGGGUUGCUCAAGUAUCUGCUGACUCAUUCAUAGAGACACAGUAAGGGUUUAUAUAAGGCCAUUUUUCUACUGUAAUUGUGUGAAUGAAGCAGCAGAUAUUUUGCAUCCCUCUUGCUCUGUGCUUGGACUGAAGGGGAGCUCCUUCCUUCUCUUGUCUCCAUCAUUGAUAUUAAUACAUUUAUAUAUAUAAACAUAACAUUAUAAUAUAUAUCUGUCUCCAACAACAAAACCAAUUUCUUAGUAUUAUUCAUCCAGUGCCACAAAAAGUAGCAGCCACAACUCUGUAGCUGAUGUAACACAUCGUCUUCUAGGUCUUUGUAAGUAUUAACUCUUCCUCACUAGGCUGCCCAAGAUUCAGCCAACAUCUGCAACAGUCGCAUAUGAGUUUUAUAGCUGCAUGCCCCACCUAGUAGUACUUUUUCACUUCCAUCAUUUCACAACUCCUCAUCAACAUUACAUUACAUGGAAGAGAAUCUCAGCACUCUACAUGCUACUUUCCUUUCCGGUUCUUCAACACUACAGGCUCAGCUUCUCUCUCAUUUCCCCUUCCUUUCCUUCAAUUCUUUUUUCGGUGGCUGAAAAAGCAAAGUUUAGGUGAUGAUGGGUCCAACACUUCACAUGUUUGUAUUCCUUCCAAACUUUGCCUGCUUCAAGUUUCUUAAGAGUGGGACCGAGUAAAGUGUAAUAUUAUAAUUUAUAGAGAUAUGUGGAGAUUUAGAGACAUUGAGCAGACAGGAUAUUGAAGAAGAUUAUGAUGUCAGACAAAAGUAGUGACUGUAUAAUAUGAACUCUGAUCUCUUGGUUAUCCCUAUGACCUACUGCUACGUACAUGAAUUUUUGUGUAAAAGGAUAAGAGAUAAACUUGCCAUAUCUUUUGGUACAGAAACUCAUGAUUCGGAACCA